rnacentral:lncRNA from 1 species
UGGGGUUUUGCACAGGAUGUGCUGCUGGGCUGAGCUGACAUUGCUCCACAGCAACAGAAAACCAGGCCCAGCUGUUUUCCUCUUGGUGUAGGAGAAGCCCAGCAGGUUCCCAGUCAGGAACCUUGCCUGGGCAAGCUGGAAGGUGGAAUGUGCAGGAAAGUGCUGUCAGCAGCAGAGAGUAAACAAGGGGGGAAUUAAUUCCAGUGGCAAUAGCAAACCAGCAAUCACCCAAGGGCUCUCAGACCACAGCAGACCCUCCAAAAAACACAUUUGGGCUUCCAGCUCUCAGUUCUAAGUCUUGGGUAUUAUCUGUAAUAGGAGUGUGUAAGAUCUUUUCAGGUUGUGCUUUUUAAAACUGACAGCAUCCCUUUGAAGUACAUCUGUGUGGAACAGCAAUUACAUCUAGCAGCCAAUUAGUGUAAGCACUGCUUGCCUGUGCCCCGAGUCCCCCGAGGAUCCAUCCCUCUGCACAGGGAAUGUGCACAGCUCUCUAGGAAGGACAGAGCAGCACAGGGGGAGCAGAGCCAUCCCUCCUUCCUCCUGUCAGAGAUAAAUGGCCCUGGGCAGAGCUGGUGUGUUUCCAGAAGGAUCUGUCACUGCUGAGCCAAAGGUGAAUGUCAGCCUUUGCCCAUCUCUCUCUAGGAGAGAGAUGGGCUGCUUCAUGUAAUUAAUGUUUCUGCUACAAUAUCUCAAUAUUUACCUGUCUUGGUGUUCCUGCUUCCAGCAGAGGUAGGCACUGAAUAACACACCCAGGCACUCUGCUGGUUUUCACUCAGAGAGGGCAGCAGGAGUGCUGGAGGGCUGUGGGGAUCACAGACAGCUCAGACAUGGCACUGGCUCUGCCUGGAAGGAUCUGCUGCUCUGUGGCUCCUGUUCCUCACCCAUCAGCCAGACUUAGAGACUUGUUCAGGUGCAGAACAGCACCAAAGCUCUGUUCCUCCCUCUCUUGCAGUGCUCCCUGCUGAAGGAUGGGCUGUGCCUGGUGCUGGCAGCACAGUGGGACAGCGCUGUCACCUCCCUGGGCUCCCUGCUGGACAGUGCCUGCUGGCAGAACCAGUCAGUCCUGGACACUGCAGAGCAUCUCCUUUACCCCCAAAAUGAGAACCAGGCCCAGGAGCUGCUCUGCUGCUUUUUUGACUCCCUGACAUCGGAGAGCACCCACCGAAUUGAAUGCCAGGAUUGCUAGCAGAGAUGGGCGAGGCCCCCAGGCAGCCUUGGAUGCCUCUGUGGAGAUGGACACACGGGCACAAUGAGCUCUAACAGCACUGUUUGU